GUAUUUAAAAAUAAGUAACACAUUCUACACAUGCAUUAAUGGGUUGUUCGUGUAAAAACGUGAAACCCCCUCCCGGAACAAGCCAAAAGAGAGGGCCCCACGCGGUGAUGCACAAAGGGGUGAGAUGGAUGUGAGAGAGCGCUCUGGGCGUGCACGUCCUUUAAGGUCAGCGACAGCCCAGGCACCUCCGUUGUACUAUAAUGAUCCUUCCGCAGGUUCACCUACGGAAA
rnacentral:misc_RNA from 1 species